rnacentral:rRNA from 1 species
GACGAACGCUGGCGGCGUGCUUAACACAUGCAAGUCGAACGGAAAGGCCCUGCUUUUGUGGGGUGCUCGAGUGGCGAACGGGUGAGUAACACGUGAGUAACCUGCCCUUGACUUUGGGAUAACUUCAGGAAACUGGGGCUAAUACCGGAUAGGAGCUCCUGAUGCAUGGUGGGGGUUGGAAAGUUUCGGCGGUUGGGGAUGGACUCGCGGCUUAUCAGCUUGUUGGUGGGGUAGGGGCUUACAAAGGCUGUGACGGGUAGCCGGCCUGAGAGGGUGACCGGCCACAUUGGGCCUGAGAUACGGCCCAGACUCCUACGGGAGGCAGCAGUGGGGAAUAUUGCACAAUGGGCGGAAGCCUGAUGCAGCAACGCCGCGUGCGGGAUGACGGCCUUCGGGUUGUAAACCGCUUUCGCCUGUGACGAAGCGUGAGUGACGGUAAUGGGUAAAGAAGCACCGGCUAACUACGUG